UUGCAUGGUUAUUCAGUGAUGUGAAGAGAGAAAUGACCACAUGAAAAUCUUAGCUUCCAAUUUACGUAAUUACUGCUAUGACCUCCCCCUACCUCCAGUGAAAACAUGUCCCUUUGAACACCAGAAGUCACAAGGACAAACAGAAAACAUUCUGCCUUUGGUAUGAUGGAUCACUCCCAGUUUUUUACCCAGAUUUACUGGAACCAUGCCCUCUGGCUCUGAGAGGAGUCCUAUGUCUGGAGCAAUGAGAUCUCCAAUGCAUGACUGAGAAUGUGAUAUCAUAUAACCCCUUUGAAAACUGUGUGUUGUUUUCAUUGGGAACUAUGGCUAAACAUCAUCCUGAUUUCAUCUUUUGCCAUAAGCAGGCUGGUGUUGCCAUUGGAAGACUGUGUGAAAAACAUGAGGGCAAGUGUGUGAUUUGUGACUCCUAUAUGUGUCCCUGCACUCUGGUGCACAUAUGUGAUGAGUGUAACUAUGGAUCUUACUAGGGGCGCUGUGUGAUCUGUGGAGGCCCUGGGGUCUCCGAUGCCUAUUUUUGUAAAGAGUGCACCAUCCAGGAGAAUGAUAGAGAUGGCUGCCCAAAGAUUGUCAAUUUGUGGAGCUUUAAGACAGACCUCUUCUAUGAACGCAAAAAGUACGGCUUCAAGAAGAGGUGAUUGGUGGGUGGCCCCUUCCUUCCCCCCACCUUAAAGCUAUUGCAACUGCCAGAAAAGAUGCCUACUACCACCAGCAGAAAGAGAGCAGAACCCAGAGCAUCACCAGGAGUGCCUGCUAGUGUACUGGCCGCUUGCCACCCCCUCCUCUCCCUCCACCCAGACGUAUGGUAGGGAUGGAAAAGGAUUCUUCAGAGAGCACUCUGGCACACCUUAUUGGAGAAAAUUUGAUAGAUUAGUUAAUGGUGUUUCUCGAAUUUGGGAAGCAAAGAUCUGUUCUCCAUAUUGAUAUGUUCUCCCUCAACCAAGAUCUUCUAAAAAGAAAUAAUAUUUUAGCCUUCUGCUUGAGAAGUUGACUGUGAAGCUACGCCCAGUGAAAAACAUGUUCUUGCAGCAUUUCUGGUGGCAGCUGUCCUUGAGGAAACUUUGGUGUGUGGUGGGAAGCUAUCGGAACAAGAAAUGUAGUCAUUUACUCGUUUAACAGUUGUGUAAGCUUUCACUCUUUAAACACUUGUGCUAGCGUCAUGUUAUUUUCCUUCUGAGAAACUGGAAACCCUUUCUGUUGCUGUUAUAUUAAUAGAGUUGGUAUUUAUUUUCUGGUA